rfam:Schistosoma mattheei strain Denwood, Zambia genome assembly, scaffold: SMTD_scaffold0000012
AUCUAGCUAACGAGUCGCAAAUAGGACGAAACGCGUGUUCUGGAU